rnacentral:rRNA from 1 species
GACGAACGCUGGCGGCGUGCUUAACACAUGCCAGUCGAACGAAGUGGCGAACGGGUGAGUAACGCGUAAUCAACCUGCCCUUCAGAGGGGGACCACAGUUGGAAACGACUGCUAAUACCGCAUACUGAAGGAGGGGAUUGCGUCGGAUUAGCUAGGUGGAGGGGUAACGGCCAACCAAGGCGAUGACCAUUAGCCGGUCUGAGAGGAUGGACGGCCACAUUGGGACUGAGACACGGCCCCGACUCCUAAGGGAGGCAGCAGGGGGGAAUCUUCCGAAAUUGACGAAAGUCUGACGGAGCAACGCCGCGGGAGUGAUGACGGCCUUCGGGUUGUAAAGCUCUGUUAAUCGGGACGCGGUACCGGAAUAGAAAGCCACGGCUAACUACGUGCCAGCAGCCGCGGUAAUAC